AAAAGUUUUUGUUUUUGUUGUUGUUAGUUGCGAAGUCGAGUCCGACACAUCGCAACCCCAUGAACAACGUUCCCCCAGGACUUCCUGUCCUCUACCAUCUUCUGGAGUCUAUUUAAGCUCACGUCUACUGCUUCAGUGACUCC